rnacentral:rRNA from 1 species
AGGGAAUCUUCCGCAAUGGACGAAAGUCUGACGGAGCAACGCCGCGUGAGUGAUGAAGGUCUUCGGAUCGUAAAACUCUGUUAUCAGGGAAGAACAAGUAUCGGAGUAACUGCCGGUACCUUGACGGUACCUGACCAGAAAGCCACGGCUAACUACGUGCCAGCAGCCGCGGUAAUACGUAGGUGGCAAGCGUUGUCCGGAAUUAUUGGGCGUAAAGCGCGCGCAGGCGGUCUCUUAAGUCUGAUGUGAAAUCUCGUGGCUCAACCACGAACGGUCAUUGGAAACUGGGGGACUUGAGUGCAGAAGAGAAGAGCGGAAUUCCACGUGUAGCGGUGAAAUGCGUAGAGAUGUGGAGGAACACCAGUGGCGAAGGCGGCUCUUUGGUCUGUAACUGACGCUGAGGCGCGAAAGCGUGGGGAGCGAAC